rnacentral:rRNA from 1 species
UACAGAGGGGGCAAGCGUUGUUCGGAAUUACUGGGCGUAAAGGGCGCGUAGGCGGCCCGCUAAGUCGAACGUGAAAUCCCCGAGCUCAACUCGGGAACUGCGUCCGAUACUGGCGGGCUUGAAUCCGGGAGAGGGAUGCGGAAUUCCAGGUGUAGCGGUGAAAUGCGUAGAUAUCUGAAGGAACACCGGUGGCGAAGGCGGCAUCCUGGACCAAUAUUGACGCUGAGGAGCGAAAGCCAGGGGAGCAAACGGG